GUGCCCAUACCGGCGGGGCCACACCCGGCUCCAUUCCGAACCCGGUCGUUAAGCCCGCCAGGGCCGAGGGUACUGGGGGCCCUAGCCCCCGGGAGAGUAGGUCGGC
rnacentral:rRNA from 1 species